UCUCACGGAGAGUUUGAUUCUCGAUCAGGAUGAACGCUGGCAGUAUACCUAACACAUGCAAGUCGGAGGGGGAGUGGUCUUUCUAGUGGCGAACGAGUGAGUAACGCGUAAGAACUUGCCCUUGGGAGGGGAACAACAGCUAGAAACGGAUGCUAAUACCCCGUAGGCUGAGGAGCAAAA
rnacentral:rRNA from 1 species